AUGUACCCACUCCAACACUCCGGUUCCUGUGCGCCGUCAACGCCCACCUGACGACCGCUCGCUACGUUUUGUUAGCC
rnacentral:sRNA from 1 species